UUGACCUCGGAUCAGGUAGGGAUACCCGCUGAACUUAAGCAUAUCAAUAAGCGGAGGAAAAGAAACCAACAGGGAUUGCCCUAGUAACGGCGAGUGAAGCGGCAACAGCUCAAAUUUGAAAUCUGGCUCUUUUAGAGUCCGAGUUGUAAUUUGCAGAGGGCGCUUUGGCUUUGGCAGCGGUCCAAGUUCCUUGGAACAGGACGUCACAGAGGGUGAGAAUCCCGUACGUGGUCGCUGGCUAUUGCCGUGUAAAGCCCCUUCGACGAGUCGAGUUGUUUGGGAAUGCAGCUCUAAAUGGGAGGUACAUUUCUUCUAAAGCUAAAUAUUGGCCAGAGACCGAUAGCGCACAAGUAGAGUGAUCGAAAGAUGAAAAGCACUUUGGAAAGAGAGUCAAACAGCACGUGAAAUUGUUGAAAGGGAAGCGCUUGCAGCCAGACUUGCUUGCAGUUGCUCAUCCGGGCUUUUGUCCGGUGCACUCUUCUGUAGGCAGGCCAGCAUCAGUUUGGGCGGUAGGAUAAAGGUCUCUGUCACGUACCUCCUCUCGGGGAGGCCUUAUAGGGGAGACGACAUACUACCAGCCUGGACUG
rnacentral:rRNA from 1 species